AGCAGAGCCGUGCCCCGCUCCUGGCUGCAGAGCGCUCCCCUCUGUAACUGCGUGAGCAGUGAGAGCCCCAGCUGUGCCUGCACCGCCUGGCCUCACCUCCGUGCUCUGCCUCAGCACUUCUGGAGCACAGCCGACAUCCCCGAGCCCUCACGGGACACAGUGAGCAGCACCAUGAGUGACAUCACAAUCCUGCAGAGUCACACUGUCUGCCCCAUCACGUGCUGUGUGUCAGUAGGUGCUGGUGGAGCAUUCCUGCUGCGUGCCAGGCCCGGGGAUGGGCAGGAUGCUGCUCCAGGUUGCCUGGCUUCCACCCGCUCCUAGCAGCUGAAGUGGCACUGCUGCUUGUAAUGACACGGCAUCGGAAAUCCCCAACAUGCAAUUGCACGAGAAGGUCACAGCUCAGUCAGAGCAGCGCAUUAAACAUUAAACGCUCCAUUUGUAC
rnacentral:lncRNA from 7 species